GUAUUUUAUCGGUGACGGAUGGGCAUGCGGUGCAUUAGCUAGUAGGCGGGGUAACGGCCCACCUAGGCUACGAUGCAGUAGGGGUUCUGAGAGGAACGGUCCCCCACACUGGUACUGAGACACGGACCAGACUCCGUACGGGAGGCAGCAGUGAGGAAUAUUGGUCAAUGGUCGAGAGACUGAACCAGCCAAGUCGCGUGAAGGAAGACGGUUCUAUGGAUUAGUUAAACUUUCUUUAGGUCGGGGAGCAAAAAGAGUGACGAGUCACUAAUUGAGCGUACCCGAAGAAUAAGCAUCGGCUAACUCCGUG
rnacentral:rRNA from 1 species